rnacentral:rRNA from 1 species
UUUGCCUACGGGACGCAGCAGUGAGGAAGAUUGGUCAAGGGUCGGGAGACUGAACCAGCCAAGCCGCGUGAGGGAUGAAGGUACAGAGUAUCGUAAACCUCUUUUGUCAGGGAACAAAGGCGGGGACGUGUCCCCGGAUGAGUGUACCUGAAGAAAAAGCAUCGGCUAACUCCGUGCCAGCAGCCGCGGUAAUACGGAGGAUGCGAGCGUUAUCCGGAUUUAUUGGGUUUAAAGGGUGCGCAGGCGGUCUGUUAAGUCAGCGGGCAAAGCCCGGGGCUCAACCCCGG